UAAGCAAAAGGCAAGCUAUGUACAUUA
rnacentral:piRNA from 1 species